rnacentral:rRNA from 1 species
UGAGGAAUCUUGCGCAAUGGGGGAAACCCUGACGCAGCAACGCCGCGUGAGUGAGGAAGGUCUUCGGGUCGUAAAGCUCUGUCAGGCGGGAAGAAAUGCAUGGAGGUGAACAGCCGCCAUGCUUGACGGUACCGCCAGAGGAAGCACCGGCUAACUCCGUGCCAGCAGCCGCGGUAAUACGGGGGGUGCAAGCGUUGUUCGGAAUCAUUGGGCGUAAAGAGCGUGUAGGCGGCUUGGUAAGUCAGAUGUGAAAGCCCUGGGCUCAACCCGGGAAGUGCAUUUGAAACUGUCAGGCUCGAGUAGGGGAGAGGGAAGUGGAAUUCCUGGUGUAGAGGUGAAAUUCGUAGAUAUCAGGAGGAACACCGGUGGCGAAGGCGACUUCCUGGCCCUAUACUGACGC